rnacentral:rRNA from 1 species
CCAGACUCCUACGGGAGGCAGCAGUCGGGAAUAUUGCACAAUGGAGGAAACUCUGAUGCAGUGACACCGCGUAUAGGAAGAAGGUUUUCGGAUUGUAAACUAUUUUAGACAGGGAAGAAAAAAGACAGUACCUGUAGAAUAAGCUCCGGCUAACUACGUGCCAGCAGCCGCGGUAAUACGUAGGGGGCGAGCGUUAUCCGAAUUCACUGGGUGUAAAGGGAGCGUAGACGGCCAUGCAAGCCAGGGGUGAAAGCCCGGGGCCCAACCCCGGGACUGCCCUUGGAACUGCAUGGCUGGAGUGCGGGAGGGGCAGGCGGAAUUCCUGGUGUAGCGGUGAAAUGCGUAGAUAUCAGGAGGAACACCGGCGGCGAAGGCGGCCUGCUGGACCGCGACUGACGUUGAGGCUCGAAAGCGUGGGGAGCGAACAGGAUUAGAUACCCGUGUA